UACAGAGGGUGCGAGCGUUAAUCGGAAUUACUGGGCGUAAAGCGUGCGUAGACGGUAGCGUAAGUCAGAUGUGAAAUUCCCGGGCUUAACCUGGGGGCUGCAUUUGAUACGUGUUGUCUAGAGUGAGGAAGAGGAUGGCGGAAUUCCCAGUGUAGAGGUGAAAUUCGUAGAUAUUGGGAAGAACACCGGUGGCGAAGGCGGCCAUCUGGCCUGUAAUUGACGCUGAGGCGCGAAAGCGUGGGGAGCAAACAGG
rnacentral:rRNA from 1 species